GAUGAACGCUGGCGGCGUGCUUAACACAUGCAAGUCGAACGAUGAAGCCCAGCUUGCUGGGUGGAUUAGUGGCGAACGGGUGAGUAACACGUGAGUAACCUGCCCUUGACUCCAGGAUAAGCCCGGGAAACUGGGUCUAAUACUGGAUAGGAACGUCUACCGCAUGGUGGAUGUUGGAAAGAUUUCGGUCAUGGAUGGACUCGCGGCCUAUCAGCUUGUUGGUGAGGUAAUGGCUCACCAAGGCGACGACGGGUAGCCGGCCUGGGAGGGUGACCGGCCACACUGGGACUGAGACACGGCCCAG
rnacentral:rRNA from 1 species